rnacentral:rRNA from 1 species
CCUACGGGUGGCAGCAGUGAGGAAUAUUGGUCAAUGGACGAGAGCCUGAACCAGCCAAGUAGCGUGAAGGAUGACUGCCCUACGGGUUGUAAACUUCUUUUAUAAAGGAAUAAAGUGAUGCACGUGUGCGUUUUUGUAUGUACCUUAUGAAUAAGGAUCGGCUAACUCCGUGCCAGCAGCCGCGGUAAUACGGAGGAUCCGAGCGUUAUCCGGAUUUAUUGGGUUUAAAGGGAGCGUAGAUGGGUUGUUAAGUCAGUUGUGAAAGUUUGCGGCUCAACCGUAAAAUUGCAGUUGAUACUGGCAGUCUUGAGUACAGUUGAGGUAGGCGGAAUUCGUGGUGUAGCGGUGAAAUGCUUAGAUAUCACGAAGAACUCCGAUUGCGAAGGCAGCUUACUAAACUGCAACUGACAUUGAGGCUCGAAAGUGUGGGUAUCAAACAGGAUUAGAUACCCGUGUAGUC